GGUGGUCCAUGGUGCCGUCAUCAUUGUCCUCAACAAAAGGUCACACCAAGAUGGAUCUCAACAUUCUCUGUGAGAUUUCUCAGCCAUUCUCUAUUGUAUGGCCGAGAAGCUUGGCGUACAAGUAGCACGGAACCACCAUGGUUGUGCUGCCAAGCAGAGUUGUUUCCAGAUGUGCCAUCAAUGGCAGAUGGCGUGGAGACAAUGCUCCAUUUGCCACAAAAAAUUUUCUUCUAUGUACCCAUUAAGGUUGUCAUGGGCUGCACAUGCGUCCUAUUGUUGGCCCUUGAUGCGGCGCCUCGGCCUCCCAUAGAGGACCGGAAGCUUGCGGUAGCAGGAGCAAAAGCAUCUUCGAGCCCUUCGGCCCUUCCUGACGAGCUGCACCUCAUAGUUCACCAUUGGAAUCCAUGCUUUGUUUUUGUCGCUCUCAGGUUGCAUAUCAUGUCAAAUUGUCUUUGGCUUGCUCGCUCGUUGUUUCUUGUCUCAUUUGUCUCUCGCUAUGGAAGAAAUAUAAGAGUGUUUAUAUAGUACCCUGUUCUAGCAUUAUUGAUGAAUUGUAUUCGGAGACUAAUAUGAUGAAUUGUAUUUGAAGACUAA